CAAGGAUUCCCCUAGUAACUGCGAGUGAAGCGGGAAAAGCUCAAAUUUAAAAUCUGGCGGUUUUGCCGUCCGAGUUGUAAUCUGGAGAAGCGUUUUCCGCGUUGGACCGUGUACAAGUCUCUUGGAACAGAGCGUCAUAGAGGGUGAGAAUCCCGUCUUUGACACGGACUACCAAUGCUUUGUGAUACGCUCUCAAAGAGUCGAGUUGUUUGGGAAUGCAGCUCAAAAUGGGUGGUAAAUUCCAUCUAAAGCUAAAUAUUGGCGAGAGACCGAUAGCGAACAAGUACCGUGAGGGAAAGAUGAAAAGCACUUUGGAAAGAGAGUUAAACAGUACGUGAAAUUGUUGAAAGGGAAACGCUUGAAGUCAGUCGCGUUGUCCGGGACUCAGCCUUGCUUCUGCUUGGUGUACUUCCUGGUUGACGGGCCAACAUCGAUUUUGAUCGGCGGAUAAAGGUAGAGGGAAUGUGGCACCUUCGGGUGUGUUAUAGCCCUCUAUCGGAUGCGUCGGUUGGGAUCGAGGACCGCAGCACGCCUUUUUGGCCGGGGUUCGCCCACGUAACGUGCUUAGGAUGUUGGCAUAAUGGCUUUAAGCGACCCGUCUUGAAACACGGACCAAGGAGUCUAACAUGCCCGCGAGUGUUAGGGUGGUAAACCCUUGCGCGUAAUGAAAGUGAAAGUUGGGACCUCUGUCAUGGAGGGCACCGACGCCCGGCCUUGAACUUCUGUGACGGUGCCGCGGUAGAGCGUGUAUGUUGGGACCCGAAAGAUGGUGAACUAUGCCUGAAUAGGGCGAAGCCAGAGGAAACUCUGGUGGAGGCUCGUAGCGAUUCUGACGUGCAAAUCGAUCGUCAAAUUUGGGUAUAGGGGCGAAAGACUAAUCGAACCAUCUAGUAGCUGGUUCCUGCCA
rnacentral:rRNA from 1 species